GCCUACAUUUCCUCUACCAACCUCAUCAUCUCUAUAGUUGGCUUGGUCCUCCAGAGAUUGAAGAGCUUGGUGAGAGCCUUGCCUUGGAGCAGGGAGGUCUGAGCCCAGGAGCUGUCGGCAGCCUGGCUCCCGCCCAGCCCAUCAGCUCUGCCUUCUGUCCCUCCCUGUUUCCAUAGCCCGCCCUCAACGAUUUCCUCCCUUGCUCAGUCACUCGCUGCCUAGUGAUCCAUGGGUUUUAAAUUAUAACUGAGACCCAGGAAACGCAUUCCUAAGUACAAUAUUCAUGGGCUGGGCUGACACUUUUAAUUAAGGUGAUUUACACUGAAUUAUCCUUGGAAAUAAAGAAAUGGUGCACUGCCGGGGAAUAAACCAUCAUCACCAGCCGCCUUUUGCCAAUGGAAUAGGGUUGGAAAGGCCUUCACAGCUUGUCUAGGCCAAGCAUCAGCUAAAGCAGAGUCCCUUCCACAAGCGUUGUGCAAUAUUUGGGGGCAUCCAGCCCAAGAGCAGAAAUGAAAAUGCAGGAUUUCCUAAGGAAAUGAUGGGAAGAUGGAUAGAGAAAAAGGUAGCCUUUCAAGGAUGCUCGCAGACCCAAUGGCUCCCCAUGGGAUCUGGCCAUGGAUACCCAGGGCUCCCAGGAAUAUUCACCAGGAGAGGGUCCGCUGCCUAGCCCGAAGAAACCAUCCUCCCCUCCAGCCCUGCCUGAGGAAAGAAAGCUCCAGUGGAUCCUACCCCAGCACAGAUGGCUCCCCCAGGACUGUCUGUCCCCAGCCCAUCUCCACCAGUCCAUGCCCCCUCCCCAAGCAUGGGGGCAGAAGCACAGCCAGCAGUGGCUCAAAGGGAGAAAAAAGAAGGGGGAGUGGGAGGGGGCACCUCCACACAAAAGAGCAUUCUGAGCCCUUGGUUCCCUGGCCCAGAGAACAAUGCUCCCGACUUGAUCCUUUCAUAAAGAGAGUUUCUGGUGUCAGGAGACAGCCGCCCAGCGCCCAAGCCUCCCACACCGGCCACUUCACUGCCCACCACCAACUGCUGCGCUGGCUGGGCUUCAUUCCGCGCCCCCCUCUGCGUCCAGCUGGAAGUGAGUGCGGUACCAGCCCCCACCCCGUUCCAGGCCUGCCCGCUACUUGUUGCCCCCUAAAGACUCUGACAGGGCCCCAGAGAGGCCAGCCAGCUGAGAUGAAAGGCUAGGACUCUAACUGGAUUACCCCCACCAGCCCCAGGACUAAAGAGGCCAAGAAGCACUAAUUAAAGCCAUCCCCUCUUCCCCGUGCCCCACCCCAAUCACCACAGCAUUCUGCCUUUCAUCCCAGGUUCUCCACUUUGUUCAAAUUUCCGCUAUUGAUGAAUUACUAGGCUGUGGAGAGGUGGGGUAAGUGGAGAAACUACAAAUCCCCUCGGCCUUGAGAGCCACUGGCUGUCAACUUGCUUAGAUUUUGUUGCCCCCUCCACUGUAGCCAAGAGUAGAAACCUAGAAGAGGCAGAGAAGGAGUGGGAGGCAAAAGAGUCAAGAGGGAAGGACGUGGCUGGAGGGCAAGAGGAGGUCUCCACCACCGCUAGAGGAGUAGCAUCCCUCUAAGUCCGUCACAUCCCUCUAAGGGGAAAGGCAGCCCCGUGUGUCUGCCCCAGGCCUGGCCCAGGGUGAAGGGUAGCGGUUACUCCCUUCCAGGGGGAGAUAGGGGCUGCAGUGUGCCCUCUCCCCCUCCCUUUUGGUACCACCUCCAAUCUCCAUUUCCAUCUCUUCCUCCUUACCCAGAAAGAGCCGCUCGCCUCUGGCUAGAGUACAGGGAGAAUCUGAGACUCCACCAGGAACCACUCCACUGGCUUAUAUUAGUUUAUAUUCCCCCAUUAUCACUCUUUGAUUGUCAUAAGAAUUCUACGAGGCAGGUAUUUUUGGCUUUAUUUUUCUGGCUUUAUUUUAAAUGAAAAGGAGACAGAAAGUUUCCAGGGAACUCUGGGCUCUGCAAGUUUGCUACCUGGGCAGGUCAGGGGAGAAGGAAGAUAAGAGCCCAGGGCUCCUGAGGACCAACCCAGUGUUCUUUCCCCGGAGAAGCUCCCAUGAGCAGGGCGCCUUGCUGAGUGAUUCUUGACAUGCUCUGCACAGGGGAUGGCAUUCACUGUCUUGGGCCCACCCAGACUGUGGGGUGCUCCUGGUGGCUGAGAGCAACCGUCAGGGCUCAACAGAGGAAGCCACAAGAGCCCUCUUCUGGGAAAGCAAAAAGCUGAGCCACGGUGCCCCAGCCCACACCACAGCCUUGCACGAUCACCUUCCUCCCCAGACAAGGGAAACCUGGGUAUGGCACGUGGCGGGCAGGGCCACCAGUCACCUGCCUUGACAUGACAGCAUGCAGAGAAGAGAAAGCGAGCUCCAGGGGUCUCGGGAGACCCUAUCCUCCUGCACGCCCUGCCCUCUCUGACAUCCUAAGACGGGAAAGGGCUGUGAGGUCGUGUCCUACCUAGGGCCAGGACACAGAUCCCUUCCUUGUAGGGAAUGAAAGGGACAAUAACCUCUGGGCUGGGAUGCCUGGGUUCAAGAGGAGGAAGGCUCCUUUUACGUAAUUAUUCUUUUGUUUUGUCUUGUUUGCUGCCCAGAGAAGGAGGAAGGAAUAGGAGUGCUCUAUUAACCUAAUUUUCAAAACAAGGGGGUAAG